AUCAUCUUCAUCAGAAACCUUCAUCCAUCUGAGUCCGCUGAUCAGUUUGAGGAAGAAAAGAAAACCAGUUGUAGAAGAUCUAAAAUCAGGAUGUUCUCACUAAUAUACUGACCUAGAAGCUGCAUUUAGAAACACAGAGAGCCCAGAAGUCUUUGAAUGAACCACGAUGACAGGAUCGCGGUUGUUGAUUUUUAAAUCUGAGGUUAGCCCCGCCCUCCUGUAGCUCCACCCUCCUGUAGCUCCUCCCUCCUGUAGCUGCUGUCCUAUCAGCGAGGACUUCUUCAUCCUGUUCAAAUACAGGUUUUAAUCUUCAACUGUUUAGGAUGUGGAGGAACUCUAUGAAAACCUUUAACAGCUUGAUAAUGAUUGGUGUUGUUAACACACUGGAACCUGUUACAAUGGUGUGUUUCACGCAGAUAUGAGGGGGAGAAGAAGAACUUCUAGCAGUGUUAUCAACCAGGCUGGUUUAUUCAGGACAGGAACAGACAUGAAGGCUGAGAGCUUCCACCUCAAUAUCUUCAACCAGCCGUGUCAAGAUUAGUCGUUGAGUGCUGAUGUUUACUUUUAGGUUUGUCUCUGCUUCAACACCACUGAAUCAAAUGAGGUCAGUACCAGGAUUUUAGAGACCUUGACUGCACACCGAGGUGUUACUUCAGCCAUUUGAUUCAGGUGUGCUGGACCUGGGACACAUCUAAAAGUUGAGGGACACCGGCCCUGGAGGACUGAAGUUUGAUACCUCCACAUGAGAGGUUUCUGUCACAUGAUGGUCUCU